AGGAGAGUUUGAUCCUGGCUCAGGAUGAACGCUGGCGGCGUGCUUAACACAUGCAAGUCGAACGGAGGUAUGAACUUCGGUUUAUACCUUAGUGGCGGACGGGUGAGUAACGCGUGGGCAACCUGCCUUACACCGGGGGAUAACAGUUGGAAACGACUGCUAAUACCGCAUAAGACCACAGUACCGCAUGGUACAGGGGUAAAAGCCGAGACGAUGUAAGAUGGACCCGCGUCUGAUUAGCCAGUUGGCAGGGUAACGGCCUACCAAAGCGACGAUCAGUAGCCGACCUGAGAGGGUGAUCGGCCACAUUGGGACUGAGACACGGCCCAAACUCCUACGGGAGGCAGCAGUGGGGAAUAUUGCACAAUGGGGGGAACCCUGAUGCAGCGACGCCGCGUGAGUGAAGAAGUAUUUCGGUAUGUAAAGCUCUAUCAGCAGGGAAGAUAAUGACGGUACCUGACUAAGAAGCACCGACUAAAUACGUGCCAGCAGUCGCGGUAAUACGUAUGGUGCAAGCGUUAUCCGGAUUUACUGGGUGUAAAGGGAGCGUAGGUGGUAUGGCAAGCCAGAAGUGAAAACCCGGGGCUCAACCCCGCGGAUUGCUUUUGGAACUGUUAAACUAGAGUGCAGGAGGGGUAAGCGGAAUUCCCAGUGUAGCGGUGAAAUGCGUAGAUAUUGGGAGGAACACCGGAGGCGAAGGCGGCUUACUGGACUGUAACUGACACUGAGGCUCGAAAGCGUGGGAAGCAAACAGGAUUAGAUACCCUGGUAGUCCCCU
rnacentral:rRNA from 1 species